UUGGGUUAAUUUGGUUUCUAUUUGCAAGCCUUUGGAUAAAGAAGGUCUAGGAAUUAGGAGAUUAAAGCCGAUGAAUAGAUCUCUUCUUAUGAAAUGGUUGUGGAGGAUCCGUAAGGAAAAAAAAUGCGCUUUGAGCUAAGAUUAUUUAUGAAAAGUAUGGCUUUAUGGAUUUGGGUUGGAGGACCAAUUAUCCAAAGGCUGCAUAUGGAGUCGGCAUUUGGAAAAGCAUAUGUAAUGUGGCCGAUGACUUCUUCAAAUACAUUCAAAUCAAGUUGGGGAAUGCCUCGAAAUAUAUUUCUGUAGCUGCUGCAAAAGGUGAUAAUAGUCUUGUCUUGUCGUGGAACCUUGGCAUUGCGAGAAGGCGCUUAUAUGAUGUCGAAAUUACUGAGCUAUCUGCUUUGUUGUAUAUCCUUAUUUGGCUUGGUCACAGUUCAAGUGUUUUCUCCGUAAAAUAAGCGUACUUGAAUGAGGUAGGUACCGCUGCUUUGUCUAAUUUUCCUAAGAAGAAGAUUUGGUUGAAAUGCUGGCCUCAAAAGGUGGGGUUUUUCCUUUGGAAGUUAUGAUUGGAUAGGUUGCCAACCUUGUCUAAUUUCAUCGUAGAAACAGUGCUCUUUUCGACGAGAAUGACUUGCCUAUUUUGAACGUCUGCCCCUUCUGCAAGUUGUUUUCUGAAACUAGUGUCCACAUCUUUCUUGAGUGCACUUUCGUGAAACAAAUUUGGAGUUGUGACUA